UACGUAGGGUGCGAGCGUUUGUCCGGAAUUAUUGGGCGUAAAGAGCUCGUAGGCGGUUUGUCGCGUCGGCCGUGAAAUCUCCACGCUUAACGUGGAGCGUGCGGUCGAUACGGGCAGACUUGAGUUCGGUAGGGGAGACUGGAAUUCCUGGUGUAGCGGUGAAAUGCGCAGAUAUCAGGAGGAACACCGGUGGCGAAGGCGGGGUCUCUGGGGCCGAUACUGACGCUGAGGAGCGAAAGCGUGGGGAGCGAACAGG
rnacentral:rRNA from 1 species